AUGAAAAUCCUUCCGUUGGGGGUUUAUGAUGCCAUCUUGGGCAUGGACUGGCUCGAAGAGCACAGCCCCAUGAAUGUGGAUUGGCGCGGCAAGCAGCUCUGGAUCACCACUCCGACAGGGACAGUGCACCUUCAGGGCCAGAUUGAGGGGGUUACGAGCUGCACGGAGAUCAACAGUCUGCAGCCACAAUGCAUGCAACGUCAGGGAGAGGUGGCACAGGUCGUGCAGCUGUACCAGGUUUGCGAGUCGGAUGAGAUCUUCACCCCAACCCUAGGCAACAUCCAGGCGGUGAUUGAUCAAUUCAAGGACAUCUUUGAGGAACCCAAAGGUUUACCGCCAAGGCGCGCGUGCGAUCACCGCAUUCCACUCAUGCCAGGAGCGCAACCGGUGAAUUUGAGGCCUUACCGUUACAAACCAGAGCACAAGUCAGAGAUUGAGAAGCAAGUUAAAGAGCUGUUGGAUCAGGGCGUCAUUCAGAAGAGUCAUAGUCCCUUUUCUUCACCGGUGAUUCUGGUCAAGAAGAAGGAGGGAACAUGGCGGCUUUGCAUCGAUUACCGCCACUUGAACGCUAUGACAGUGGUGGGCAAGUACCUGGUGCCGGUGAUCGAGGAGCUAUUGGACGAGCUGCAUGGUGCUCGAUGGUUCUCAAAACUGGAUUUAUGUAGGCUACCACCAGAUUCGCCUGGCAGAGGGGGAGGAGUACAAGACGGCCUUUCAAACCCAUGCAGGUCAUUUUGA
rnacentral:rRNA from 1 species